GGUGCGGUACCCAAGCGGCAAGGGAGCAGUCUGCAAAACUGUUAUUCGCCGGUUCGAUUCCGGCCCGCACCU
rnacentral:tRNA from 1 species